rnacentral:rRNA from 1 species
UACGUAGGUGGCAAGCGUUGUCCGGAUUCACUGGGCGUAAAGAGCGCGCAGGCGGUUCGAUGCGUCGUGCGUGAAAGCCCCCGGCUCAACUGGGGAGUGUCGUGCGAUACGGUCGGACUGGAGGCCAGUAGGGGGAUGCGGAAUUCCGGGUGUAGUGGUGGAAUGCGUAGAGAUCCGGAGGAACACCAGCGGCGAAGGCGGCAUCCUGGACUGGUCCUGACACUCAUGAGCGAAAGCGUGGGGAGCGAGCCGG